UAGGGUGGGGUGGAGUGGGGUAGGGUAGGGUUAGGUAGAGUGCGAUAGGAUAGGGUAGAGUAGGGUGGGGUAGGACAGGAGAAGAUAAUUUAGAAAUAAUAAAAUUAAUUUCUGCCCUUGUGCUUAUAUUACAGUUAAAUGACUUUUGGUUUUGCCUCAGGAACACAUUCCAGCCUUGCCUUAUCACUCAGGAUAAGAAGAUUCCCAGGACAUGUUCAUCAUGGACAGGAUCCAGCGUUCCCAUUUGGAGGGCCAUGUUCUGAAUCCAGAUAGUGGGAACCACAUGGUUCAAGUACUACAAGACAGGCUCACUCCCUGCAGUAUGAAAUUAACUGUGGUCAAGAGAAAUAGGGCAAUGAUCUCCUGCAUUCCACUGGACACGAUUCAUUUGCAUUUCUGUGAAUGAAAAUCAUUUGCACUGUUAGCAGUUUGCUACAACUGGAAGAGUUGUAAGGUAGCUGCAAAUAUAUGACAAUCUCUGUUAUGGACUGAAUGUUUGUGCCCCUCCAAAAUCCAUAUGUUGAAACCCUACCUCCUAACGUCAUGGCAUUAGGAGGUGGGAUCUGUGGAAGUAAUUAAGAUUAAGAUGUCAUAAGGGUAGAACCCUCCAGAAUGGGAUUAGGGUCUUGGUAAAGAAUCCUGAGAAACCUGCUUCCUCACUGUGCUCUUCAGCCAUGCGUGGACACAAUGGGAAGACUGCCUUCCAAACACAGGAAGGGGCCCUCACCAGAACCCAGCCUCUCGGACCACCCUGAUGUGGGACUUUACACCUUCGGGAACCAGAAGAUACAAACUUUGGUUAGACCACCUGGUUUGUGACAUUUUGCUACAGGAGCCUUGCUAAGACAGGUGUUCUACUCAAGUAUCUUGAAAACUUUGUCUCAUCCAUUUCAAACUCCUUUCAAAAUAGAACACGUCCUUCCUUAGCUCACUAGUACACUCACGUGGAAUUGGGUUUUACAGCUGCAUUUAUUAAAGUGGAAAUAGGCAUUUAUUCACCACAUCUCAGCAAGCACCUCCAAUCUGCAAUAAUUCUGUAGACAACCAAUGUAAUUAUUUUUAAGAUUUUAUGUUUAAGGAAUCUCUAUAUCCAUUUUGGGGCUUGAAUUUUACAACCCCAAGAUCAAGAAUCUCAUUUUCUACCAACCGAGCCAACCAGGCACCCCAAUGUCCUUCUUUUUUGUAUGCAAUAAUAGAUGUUUACUGAGCAAUUCUACAAAAUUUACAUUAUGUUACAUGCAAGUGCUUUAUAUAUGUUUUUCAGGUAGCUUUGUUUCCAUUUACACAAGGUAGCCAUGUUGUCAGGUGCCCUAGGGAGACCCCAGGCCCAGAGGCCUCUGCCCAGCUGGUCCCAGGGAUGUUGCUGGAGGAUCCGGGUCUUGUCACAACAAAAAAUUUAAGGACAGACCAGACACAAUGGUUGAACGAUGCAAGUAGGAAUGUUUAUUAAACUGAGCACACCCUCAAGAUGUCAGAGCAGGUGAGCUCAAGGAAAGCCGUAUGCCUCAGGUUAGGGUUUUGAUCUCUUACUGACAGUUGUUGGCUGGGGGGUGGAGUAUUUAUUACUGGGGGAGGGGGCUUGGGGGCAGCUUUCCCCACCUGUUCUCCCUUAGUCGGUCAGGGUUUGCAGCCUCCUUUGUCUUGGGUGCGUCUGGUUUGAUCUGGCUUCUUGUGGAUUUGUUGUGGGGUGCUGGCAGACCAGUCUUGGACUUCCCCACAGCCGGGCACCACUACCCCUUGGCUGGCCUCCAGGCACCCUGUUAGAGCCUAACCUACUGCCUACUCUAACCGUGAAAACAAGAAAGAAAAGAACAGGAGAGGAAAUGCCUAGGACUUUCAUCUAAUUCAAUCAUUCAAGGUUUGAAGUCUUUUUUAAUUACUUAGUUAAUUUUUGAGAGAGAGAAAGCGUGAAUCAGGGAGGGGCAGAGGGAGAGAGAGAAUCCCGAGCAGGCCCCGCACUGUCAGAGCAGAGCCCAACUCAGGGCUCGAACCCACAAACCAUGAAAUCAUGACUAAGCCUAAGUAGGAAGCUCAACUGACAGAGCCACCCAGGCGCUUGAAGUAUUAACUCCACACUAGAUGAACUUGAGCUAACAAUUUCCUCCAUGAAACUUCUGUUUCUCGAUUCCUUCCCUCCUGUCCCCUUCCUUUUUCUGCCAGACCCCUGUUAACUCUGGAAUCCUGGAUGUCCUCUUGCACACUUCACCUCCUCAAAACUAUCUUCCCCAACAAGAAAAAUAAAGAGCAGAUUAAAUAAAGGAAAGGAGAUUCAAAAUUCCUUGCAAAGGAAUGGGUAUGGAGGAGGAUGUGGUUUCUUAUCCAGAAUCCGUCUUAUAUGCCUGGGUCUACUCUACUCCCUGUGAUGUUCCAGUUUCUGAUUCUUGCACGGAAUGAGAAUUAUUCUCAGAAAAGCUUUCACAAAACUUAAAGAAUCUCCCACUUGUCAUACCCCUCCGUUUGCAAAGUAAAAUGGCAUUUAAUCUACGAGGUAGGACACAGGGAAUGCCUGUUAAAUGUCUUUUCUUCAGAAACCUCCAAAGAGCCCCCUCCUCCCAAUGUUAAUGUGACUCCUUGAGAAAACGUAAGAUAAACUCCUUGAGACAAGGAACCCAGGAUGCAGUUGUACUACAGUGUGAUGAGUGAUGGAGGAGCUCGAAGAGAAAGCUUUCUUGAAGUGCUAAGUGAAGACCUCAGUAUAAGGCAGGGAAAGCCUGAAAAUGAUCUCAGGGAGUCCGAUUUUAGCAGAGGGAACAACAUGUACAAAGGCCCAGAGGGACCCAAAGUAUUUCAAAAUGGUAUUUGUGAAGUGUUUGCUGCAAGGAUGUGGUGGGGGAAAAAGUUGGGGAGAUUAACAGGGACCAAAUCAUAAAAGAAAUCUCUACACCCACUGUGGGGCUCAAACUCACAACCCCGAGAUCAAGAGUCCCACUCUCUACUGACCAAGCCAGCCAGGUGACCCCAGAAGGCUUAAUUUUGUAGUCUGGACUUUGCAAUACUGAGGAGCUCAGUCUCCAUGCUGGGGCUGAGUGGGGUCAUCUAUGUCUAUAGUCUGUUAUCAGUUGAAAGAAUCUGAGAGUGGAAUUAGAAGUAAAGUAAAUAUGUAGUUCCUGAGCUGGAGAAACGUGUUAGAGAGCAGAGUUUGAUCUGGACAGCUCAAGGAAGAUGUCCUUACAUGUUAUGAAGGGAAUGGGUAUAAGAUGGGUAUUCCUUCCUUUCAGAUCAAGAGAUUAUCAUCAGGAAAGGGAUCAGAAUAAAGCAUGAGUUUCAACGGCAGCAAAAUAUACUUUUUUUUGGCAUAAGGAUUUCUUUGAGAAAUAGCAGACACAGGAGAAGCCCAGAAAAGAGUACAAGUUAACCUUUUGUAAGGAUGUCUUGCUCUCUGUGAGGAAGAGAAGGUCGACCCCGAGUCACAAGAAACAAGAAGGCACUAACAAACCUUACUCCUGUUCAUACCUUUCCUGGUUAGCUCCCACACCUGGUCUCCCUUGCACGCUCUUUGUUCUGUCUUUAGCUGCCUGAAUUCUCAGCCACCUCUGAGAGUCACUCAUUUUUCCCUAGGUCUCUCCCACGUGUACAUGAGAUAUACACAUUAAUAAACUUGUGUUUCCCCCUCCUUAAUCUGUCUUUUGUUACCGGGACGCCAGCCAAGAAGUUAGAAGGAU